rnacentral:sRNA from 1 species
UUGAUUUUCAGUUCUUUAUUCCAAGGUCAUGUGCCUUUUAAAGUUACAGAGUGACCUCGAAGUGGACUCACCGGGGAAGAGGCUCACCGGCUCACAGGGGGAAGGACCGAUGAGGACAUGAAGAGAAAACAGGCGUCACCAGCUAGUUAAGGCCGAACAAAGACCAUCCGAGAUGAAACAAAAUGAUCUCUUCCCGUUGUGAUAGAAUCGUGGCUCAAGUCCGGACAGACCACACCAAGCCAAUCCAGUUCCACGAGAGAGAGGUUUAUUGUGGCGGAAGGGGACAAAAGGGGGUGACGGAGACAAAGGGGGAAAAGAGAGAGAAG